UGGGGAAGGAUCAUAAAGAAAGGGAAUUUGUUUUCCCUUGGGGGCUGGUUCUUGUUCCUUGUAAAGGGGGGGGGGAGAAAAAAAAAAAGUGGGGGGGCAUAUAUCCAACCCCACAAUUGGGACCCCUUGCCUUUGCUGGCUUCGGAUGGUAGAGGAUUUUACACAAACACGAAUGUAAUGAAAUAAUGUUGUGCUGAGCACUUAUAAUACAACUUUCAACAACGGAUCUCUUGGCUCUCGCAUCGAUGAAGAACGCAGCGAAAUGCGAUAAGUAAUGUGAAUUGCAGAAUUCAGUGAAUCAUCGAAUCUUUGAACGCACCUUGCACCCUUUGGUAUUCCAAAGGGUAUGCUCGUUUGAGUGUCAUUAUACUCUCACACUCUCUGAUUUUGUGAUUAGAGAGC
rnacentral:misc_RNA from 1 species